rnacentral:rRNA from 1 species
CCUACGGGCGGCAGCAGUAGGGAAUAUUGCUCAAUGGGGGAAACCCUGAAGCAGCAACGCCGCGGGGAGGAUGAAGGUUUUCGGAUUGUAAACUCCUUUUGUUAGAGAAGAUAAUGACGGUAGCUAACGAAUAAGCACAGGAUAACUCCGUGCCAGCAGCCGCGGUAAUACGGAGGGUGCAAGCGGUACUCGGGAUAACUGGGCGGAAAGAGCGCGUAGGCGGGAUAGCAAGUCAGAUGUGAAAUCCUAUGGGUUAACCAUAGAACUGCAUUUGAAACUGUUAUUCUAGAGUAUGGGAGGGGUAGGUGGAAUUCUUGGUGUAGGGGUAAAAUCCGUAGAGAUCAAGAGGAAUACUCAUUGCGAAGGCGACCUGCUAGAACAUAACUGACGCUGAUGCGCGAAAGCGUGGGGAGCAAACAGGAUUAGAUACCCGGGUAGUC